rnacentral:piRNA from 1 species
UCUUAUGGAGUCGAAUGCAGGG